AUGGGAUUCCUCUUUGAAUGAGCCUUUCAUCCCUUCAUCAAUUCUGUAUAGUUCUUCCAUAUAUUCUGUCCACCUUCUCUUUAUUUUCUCCUGGACACAUAGUAUGUUCCUCUGUUAGUCUUUCAGCAUUCGUAAUCUAGGACUGAAUUUCCCUUUGAUUUAUUGGAAGUUCUGAAAAAGGCCAC